UCGGGGUGCACCAGGCGCGAAAACUUUACAAUGCUGGCAACAGCGAUAAGGGGACCUUGAGUGCCAGGAUACAAUCCUGGCUGUCGUGAUGCCUAAAAAGCAUUAUAUAGCAAGGGCCGGGCAAGACCGGUGCCAGCCGCCGCGGUAACACCGGCGGCUCGAGUGGUAACCGCUAUUAUUGGGUCUAAAGGGUCUGUAGCCGGCUUGGUUAGUCUCUUGGGAAAUCCGGCAGCUUAACUGUCGGGCUUUCAGGAGAUACUGCCAGGCUCGAGACCGGGAGAGGUGAGAGGUACUUCAUGGGUAGGGGUGAAAUCUUGUAAUCCUUGAAGGACCACCAGUGGCGAAGGCGUCUCGCCAGAACGGAUCUGACGGCAAGGGACGAAAGCUAGGGGCACGAACCGGAUUAGAUACCCGGGUAGUCCUAGCCGUAAACGAUACUCGCUAGGUGUCGGCCACGGUGCGACCGUGGUCGGUGCCGUAGGGAAGCCGUGAAGCGAGCCACCUGGGAAGUACGGCCGCAAGGCUGAAACUUAAAGGAAUUGGCGGGGGAGCAC
rnacentral:rRNA from 1 species